ACAGAAACAAUAAGACAGAAGGUAGACCAUUCAAGCCAACAGACCUUCCUCGAGCCCAACAUUUACUUCUACAUGCCCCACCUUAGACAACAUCCUGACAGCCUCCUACCCAACGUAGUGCUGGGACAGGGGCGCCGUGGAGUGUCCCUGGUUCUGGGCAUUCCUACAGUGAAGCGGGAGAAGCAGAGCUACCUGGUCAGCACACUGCGCUCUCUGUUGUACGGCCUGACGACUCUGCAGCAGCAAGAUCUCCUCAUAAUUGUCUUUGUUGCUGAGGUUAGACACACAUUCACUCCCAUUACAUUCAACUUCCACAAUUUGUUCCAACAGUAACACCAACAGGUACAAUUAUUGUAUUGCAAUAUUUGAAUGUUG